rnacentral:lncRNA from 1 species
ACCAAACUUAUACCUCUAUGUUGCAAUAUCCUUAUUUUUCUGAUUUCUGAACUGCUUGUGAGAUUACUAACAUCACUUCUUUUGGGAAAAAAAAAGAUAUUCACAUUGGUAAAGAUGACCUCCGAUUUAAACUCAUGCAAAAAAACGUGUUUAGACGGGCUCAGAUUGAUGAUAACCAUAAGGGCAUGGACCUUCGUGAAAAGUUGUCAAGAAUGGGACAGCCUCCACUUAACAGUUAUGAGACACGUCAGCGAGUGCCUGACCCAAGGGAGCAAAUGCCUGAACCAAGGGAAACCAGUAUCUUGGGCAGAAUUCCUUCCACAAGAAGUGUGGAUGAUUUGCCUCAUGUGACCACAUCAAGAAGUUCUUAUUCUUCUUGGACUUUAGAUCAUUUAAGGCAAAGAUCACCAGACAGAGUAAUGGGUACUUCUAGGGGUUUAUCUCCCCCAAGAAAUGUUGAAGAGCUUCAGAAAAAGCCGGUAAACAGGGCAUAUGAUGAUGUGAGGACAGUUCCAUACAUGGGCAAAGAUGUUCUUGAUGCUCCAAGGCCUGUGAGUACAGCAUCUUUUGUUACAAAGUCCACAUUGCCUACCACUUCUGCAAAGCCCAUGCCACCAGGCCUCCCAAUUCCAAGUCCAAUUCCUCCAAGCAGCAUUGUACAAAAAAGUUCAUACUCUGUAUGUACUAGUUGCUGUCUACUUUCCAUCCUAUAAGUGAAGGGUGCAAUGAACAUGUUUUACAUCUAUUUUUUCAGCAAUAUAUUUUCUCGUGAAUAUCUGCUGCUUAUGAGUUUAGUCUGUUCUUUACCAUAUAACUCCUUACUUUGUAUGAUUCUUUUUUUUGUUUGCAUUUUUUAAACUGUCAAAAGAAAUGUGUUAUGUUAUUCUCAGACCACCAUGCUUGUAAAGUCGAGACCUAUCAUAAAAUAUUUCUCUCUGAAAUGAAUAAGAAUAUUGUAACUCGUCUGGAUCUUUCAAUCUAGUUAGUUUUGUUGUCAACCAUAUUCAGUUGGCUACAGGAUAAUAUGCUGUUCCAAAAGUUUAAGAACCAAUUAUAUUUCUGUUGGUUUUCCAAAUUGUCUUUUAGAAACUAAAUAUAACAUUGCAUUUUUAGGUGACCUGCUUGUUUUUUAUUUUAUUCUUAAAAAGAUUCUGCUAUGUGUGGGUAGCUAUUGGUCUGGUCACUUUGGUUCUGAACAAGUAGCAGUUGAGAUUGCUUUGAAACUGUAUGUUAUGGUGCCUAAGAUAGUGUAUUACAUUUAUGAAAUUUCAAGUAAUAGGUGCUACAUGCUCUUUACGAACACCUCUGACCCCACUCCAUUUUGUUACCUCUCUUUUUCACAUCAGCAAAGAAUCUUCUCCUCUAUGAAAGCAUUUUUAUUUUAUGCUCUUGCUCAUCAAAUCUGGAUCCUAAUAAUUAUUGUCCUCUCUCUUCUGCCAAUAUAGCAGUACCUUUGCUUUGUUUGCUAACCCUUUGCCUCUCACCAUAUUUUUGCUUAACUUCCAUUCCCUUUUUUAUCAAGUGUUCAAUGCAGUUUGCUUUCUAUUCGUGCAUAAAUGACCAGUCAUAGUGUGAUCCCAAAGACUUUUCUUAAAAGUUAUAUGCAUGCAUUGAUUUGUAAGGAGCAGUGUUUAGAUGAAUUUUCUUACCUUUUUUUUCUUUCUUUUUGGCUGGAUGCUAUAUAGGGUGAUGAACAACAAACUGUUGAAGGCUUGCUACAUUCACUGGGGUUGGGAAAAUAUGCAAUUCUUUUUAAGGCAGAGGAAGUAAGUAAUCUAGUUCUUUUGUUCAAUUCUCCCAGAGUAAGAUUAAAUCUUGUUUUUUUUUUUUUUUGGGGGGGGGGGGGGGAGAAUAAAGGUGUUCAUGAGAGGCAAGGGAAGAGUAAUCAGCCAAGAACAAAGAUGCAUUUCCAUUGUGAUAUGUUAUUUCUUGAUAGUAGUUUGUCACUUGCUAUUUGUUUUCUUUGGUUAUUUCAGUACGGCAGUAGUUUGAAUCACUGGUGCAAUGCAAGAUCUUAGGAUGGUUCUUGCAUCUUCACCUAAUGGGGAUAUUUGCUGAUUUUUCUGAUUGAAAAAAAUAUAUAUUUUAGCAUCAAUAGUGAUUUUGGCAUCUUAUCUGUCAUAUUUUAAAUGACCUCAGUAGCACUCAGGAUUACUCAUCAAUGUUAAUUCUUAAAUACAUCACUUUCAGGUUAGAUUGUCUAGCUUGGUUCUGGCAAGGCUGUUGAUAAUGUAAAGAUGUCUUCACACAUGCUUGUCCAAAUAAAAAUAAACAUGGAACUUUAUAGAAGCAAAGAUUAAUAUGUAUGUUUUAUGUCCCAAAAGUGGAAGUCCAAUGAUUAGAUCUAGAGAAUUUCAAAAUGUAGCUCACACAUUUCAACCUUAGGAUGAGGGAUGAAGUUUAUGGGAUGAAAGGUUACCUCUUCAUAUGUAACCCUCUUUAUGAGCUUCCUUUUGUAUCUAAAAGAAAAAAGUAUGAUUCAUGUACCCUCUAUUACCUCCCCAUGCCAGAUUGGCAACCCUCUGCGCCCCCCCCCCCCCCCCCCCCCCCCCCCAAAAAAAAAGGGUAUAGGGGGAUAUUAAGAAGUAGUAGAAACACAACAAAAAAUGUAUUAAGGCAGGUGCUGUGUUUGUUUUUGGAGGAAACCUUUCUAGAUCAAAUAGAGGAUAUGACAAACCAGUAGUUGCUUGUACCUUUGAUAGUUGCCAAUUGAUGCUUGGAUUUUGUGUUGCAGAGAUGCAAGCACAUAUCUUAUUUGAUUUUACUUUUAAUUGCAAUAAUGAAAUUUACUCUUUCUUGAAAAAAUGUUGGAUAUGAUUAUUAUGCCAACCAUAAGCGGAUCCUAGUGUAACAUGGACACCCUCAAAGAUUGGGUAACAAGAAAAAUUGAAGGAAAAUUUUCCCCUGGACACCCUUUCCAUAGAUAAAAUUGAUAAAUCCAUCAACAAAUUUAUAUAUAUAUAUAUAUAUAUAUAUAUAAGUGGACACCUCCGAAAAAAAUCUUGGAUUCACCACUGAUGCCAACUAUGGCUGACAUUGGUGUGUUUGAAAUGGUUGCCAAAAUUGGUGAUGUUAUUCAAGUUGUGAAUCUGUCUUAUAAAACAAUGCAUAAGUAUCUUCAAGAAACAUUUGGGUACUGAUGUUUCCAAACAAACUGUAUAUAGAGAAAUUUCCUGGAUUGAGGUUGUUUCUGCAGCUGUUCUAUCAUGCAAAUUUUGAAGAUUUAAUUUACUCUAUUUUUAAGUUAUUGAAAUGUUAUGUAUUGAUUUUGUGAUUUUGAUUGGAGAAUUGCUUGUUUGUUUGUUUUAUCUGUAUUCUCCUUUUUUGGCUGAUCUGUAGAUUUGAAAUUUUACUCAGGUGGAUAUGACAGCAUUGAAACAGAUGGGGGAAAAUGAUCUUAAAGAGCUAGGAAUACCUAUGGUAUAUUACGCUUCUUUUCUGUAUUGGUAUUGUUUAUUUUUAAAUUUUCUGUUCUUUAUUUUCACAAUUGAUUUGCCCAAAGGCCCCAAACUAAUAACUGAUGCACAUACCUAAACUCAGAUUUCUGGCGAGUUAAAUUCACAAAGUUGAAAUUGUCAAGCCUGUCUCAUAUUUUCUUCAUUAGACAUCAGUUCUCAAAACAUUUUUUUAAGUGAUUUUUAGCAUGUGCACACAGCUGAGACUGAUUUGAGCACCUAAGUACAUCAUGAUAAUUCUGUGUGCCUGGAUUUCUUUUACAUGAAUUUCAAUUACUUGCUGCCUAAGCCAAAUUCAUUUUAACUCAAGGCUUUAUGUGCUACGAUUAUAGUUGUAGAUGGAUUAUGGUUGAGCAUUUUCAGUAAGCACUAUGUGCUAGGAAAUCAGUGAUUUUCCUUGCUGCUAAGUUAUAGUUAUAGUUCCAGGUUUACUGCUUAGUAGCCUGCUACUAAUUGUUUUAACUUUUGAAAGACUCCAGUAUCCAGGUGCUUACCAUGGUAUAGAUGAGAAUUUUAAUUUGCCUCUUGCUCACAAUAAAUUUAGGGUAUUUGGUAAUAUGGGAUGUGAUCCGGGUGAUUUCUAGAUUCACAUGCAGCCAAUCAAAAGACUUUUAUCAUGAUCAAUUUUCACGUGAAUAUUGUUUGAUAACUGUUGUGCAAAAUGUAAUCUUAAGAUAUAGCUGUUGAAAUUUACAUAACAUGCUGAAUUGUCCCUAAUGAAGCUGGUUUAUUUGCAGGGCCCUAGGAAAAAGAUUCUUCUUGCUCUCUUGCCCCGUUCAAAAAGGCAACCAUGAUUAUUCGUUCGUUUCGUGUGACAGGGUGCUCGUAUUCGUGAAUCUUGUCUAAGUAAAACCAUUGUAUCUCUCUUUUUGGGAUAGAAAGUAACCCGUCAAUCUAUUGUCACAUUUUUUAAUCUAAGGCUGAUUAACCUAGGUAGAAGGUGGCAAGAAAUUUUGAGAUGUCAAGAAAUUAUAUUGUUCUCGUUUUUUAUGCAUGCUACCCCCUUUUAAUUCCUUACCAACCUUAACCAUAUGGGUGUUUGAUCAAAUUCAAAUGAAUUGUCUUCGCUAGUUGUUGGUAGAAAGAAUAAUAUUCCUACAAAUGAAUGUAAUGUAAAAUGUUGUGAUCUGCUGAGGGAACUCCAAUUUGUAUUCUCCCAAAUACUGUUUGCUUGGAUCCGUUUCUAGGAAAUAUCCUUGCCCUUUCCCCUACUUUGCUUUUUUUUAUUACAAUCUCCUUUUUCUUUAAAAAUAAGCAUGCAUGUCAUGAAGUCCGCUCGGUGCCCUCUUUAGUUUAUGACUAACAUACUCUUCUAAUCUUUUUUGAAUCAAAGGUUCUCCUUCGGCAAGUAGCCUAGGAUAAAAGAACCCAGUCAUAAAAGCGCCAGCCAUUGGCUUUAAAAUUGUGUGAUGGUGGGCUAUAUAUAUAUAUAUAUAUAUAUAUAUAUAUAUAUAUUAACAAAAGUUUAGAUAUGGAGAGGAGAGGUUAUCUCGAUUAGAGUCUUAAGUAUAUUGUAGAUUUCGGUGAAGACUUGCAUAGUAUACUAAGUAUAACUGGUAAUAGCGUGUGAAUGUAUCUAAAAGUUACAAGUGAAAUAUUCGUUUUUUAUCAACUCAAUCAACUUGUGUUCGAGCCGGACUUGGUUUUUUAAUCCUUGGGGAAGAUGUGACCAUCGGCUAUUUGAGACUUGGGAGGUCCUCUCUACUCUCUACUGGAAGCAAAUGGCAUUAAACAAUGUGAUGGGCACCCAAGAAGAAUAGUAGAAAACAAGGGAAUAAAAAAUUCUCAUCAGUGAAAGCAAGACCUUAAAAUUUGCCUGCAGCUACCAACAUGAAUAAACUAGAUUAAUUUGCACCCGUUUUGAUUUGUCUCGUUAGAAAUAAAACUUUAUUUUCUGACGGCUAAGACUUGGUUUGCUCAACUUGAGGAUUUCAGCAGAAUGGGUGGGUGGGUGGGUCAAUCUGCAAAUAGAGAUACCAGGCUUAUCUUUUGUACUAAGCAAAAACUUUAAGCUCUGCAGCCACCAGGAAACAUCCUGGUUUCCUCUUAAGCUUUGCUUUCUCUUUCAAUAGCAUAGAUUUGGUUUAUUGGAUUUGGUCAAUAAUGAUUCAGUUAGCUUCAUUUUCCAUUCAGGAGUACUUUCUUUAUGUAUGUAUAUGAUGUGCCAUGAAUUGUCUUUAUUGCGCUAUUAUUUCCUUGAUUCUUUGAAUGCGAGAUUGCUACGGAUGAUGAUAGUUGGACUUUGGCACAAAUUCAAAUAUCAUGAUAUUUAAUUUAUCCAAUUCUAUCUGUGGGAAUUUAGUUUUCUUAUGCUUUGGGAAUUUUAAGCAGCCCAAUGAAUGAGAAUGUUCCGCAACUAGUCAUGGAUAUGGAGAUACGACUUUGUCGCUUGGGCUUUUUGAUUGUCAAUUUCAUAUUAUAGGAACGGUUAUGGAGAUUCUAUGCGUACAGUAAGAAAAGCAAGAACAGUGCUUCUUAUUUCUCCUUUAUUUUGUAUUUUUUUAAUUUUUCGCUUUUUUAUUAUAAAAAGCAAAAAUAAUAAUAAAUAAAAACAAUUUUUUUCAUUAAUAUCCCAAACUCAAUGAAUAGCCCCCAAAAUUCGGAGCCACUUGUUACUCAAAAUUUAAUCAGAUUGGGCUGCUCUAACUCAGCCUAACAGCUGAACGAUGAGCAUUCUUGUCUUCAAUUUCUGACUCAUAAUUCAUAAUAAUGGAGUUAAAACAUGGCCCCCGCCUUCAGUUUUAUUAGAUAAUUUCGUAAUCUAAGAUUGCAGCAUGAUUUGAUCUGAAUGGUUAUCAUGAGCUUAUUGGCGAUGAAUAUUUGCUUUAUUAUUUGUCAAAGCUAGAUUUUAGUAGCUUCAUGAAAGGAAGCCUGAAGUAUUACGUUUGCAACCAGCAAUCGCAGUUUGCCAUGUCCUUAUCUUCAUCAGCAGUCGAAGCAUUUUCCUGCCUUUCCUAGAAAAGACAUGUGCCUUAUCUGAACUUAUUUUGGUCAAUAUUGUACUCCUACGUGCAUUGUUUUUGCCUUGUUAAAGUGGUCUACGCUUUUGUACUUUGUUCUCUAGUUCCCCUUUUUCUUUUUCCUCGUCAAUAAUCCUUAUGCUUCUUUUAUAUUAUUUGUUUUAAGCAUACGCAUGAUGCACAUGCAAUUUUUUUUUACAAAAAAUUUAUUUUAAUAAAUAAUUUUUAUACUAUAAUAAUAAUAAAUAUUAAUAAUUUAAUUUUUAUUUUGGUAUACCAUAAGUAAAAUUUAAUAAUUUCUUAUAUACUUUUAAUAAUAACAAUAAUAAAUACUAACAAUUUAAUUUGUAUUUUUUAUACUAUAAGUAAAAUUUGAUAACUUUUUACAUAAUUUUAAUUUUUAUAACUCUUAAUAAAAUUUUGAUAACCUUUGAUACAAUUUUGAUAAUCCUUUGAUAAUUUACGAUAUUAUUUUGGUAAGUACUAAUAUAAUUUUGAUAAUUUUUUUAUAAAAUUUUAAUAAUCUCUUGAUGUAAUUUUAGUAAUAUUUUAGUGACUUAUAAUAUACUUUUAAUAAUUAUUAAUAAAAUUUGUAUCAUCAUCUAUUUAAUAAUGAAUUCUCGUAAGAAAUUGAAAGUUUAGUUCUAAUAUAAAAUGAUUUUCUUUUAUAUAAUAAUAUUAUUGCUUCAUUCAAAUUUAAAAUUUUUCACUAAAUUUAUUUAUUAAAUAAAUUCAUGGUAAAUUUAUCCUCACUCCCCAAAAUGAAAUUUGAAACUUUGUUUUUGUUAGUAACUAAGAUUUAAUUCCCAACUACCUCAAGUAUAAAAAAUUUGUUAAUGAUUGACAAUUAAAUUAUUAUUGAUUUAAUACUAUUUUAUCAAUGAUUUACUAUUAAGUUAUCAAUAAAAUACUACUAAAUUAUCAAUUAUUUACUAUCAAACUAACAUUGAAGUACUACUAAUUCAUGAAUGAUUUACUACUAAGUUAUGAACGAUUUACUAAUAAAUUAUUAAUGAUUUACUAUUAAAUUUUUGAUGAUUUAUUAUAAAGUUAUAACUGAUUUGCUAUUAAUUUAUCGAUAAUUUACUACAAAGUUAUCAAUUAUUAACUAAUUUAUUACAAAAUUAUCACUAAUUUACAACUAAAUUAUCAUUAAUUUACAACUAAGUUAUUAUUGGUUUACUACUAAAUUACUAAUAAUUUGCAUCUAAAUAAUCAAUGAUCUACUAUUAUGUAAUUAUUCAUUUACUACUGUGUUGUCAUUGAUUUACUACUUAAUUUUUUAUUUUUUACCAUAAAAUUAUCAUAGAUUUCUUACUAAAUUAACUAUGAUUUAUUAUCAAGUUAUCACUACAACAACAAUAACACACUAAGCCUUAUAUAUCAUAUUUUAGGGUUGGAUGCAUAAAAAAUCAAAUAAGAGAAUCAAAUUAGGUUGUAAUCUGUAUCCUUUUGCGCUACUUAUUUCUAUCAAUAACCACAUUUUCAUCUAAUUUCUUAACUAUCGUAUCAUUUUUUUAUUACUUGUAUCUAUAUCUUUCGUGAUCUACCAUCGUUUUUUAUUACCAAGUUAUCACUAAUUUAUAUUAAAUUAUACAUGAUUUAUUAUUAAAUUAUCAUUGAUUAACUAUUGAAUUAUCAAUGAUUUACUAAUACUAAAUUAUAUUAAUUUACUUUUAAGUUUUCAAUGAUUUACUACUAAGUUAUUCGUGAUUUAUGACUAAGUUAGUCAUGAUUUAUGACUAAGUUCAUUAUUUAAUUACUAUUAAAUUAAAAUUAAUUUACUAUGAAGUUACCAGUAUUUUACUAUUAAAUUGUCAUUAAUUUAUUAUUAGGUUAUCAAUGAUUAACUAUUAAGUUAUCUCUUAAUCAUUGAUUUAUUAAUAUAUUGUUUCACACAAAUAACUAUGAAACUUGAAAUUUAAAAAGUUUACUAAUAAUAUAUGAGAUAAUUUUAUUUUAUAUAAUAAUAUUAUUAUUUUAUUCAAAUUUAGAAUUUUUUAUUAAUUUUUUUAUUGAAUUGGUUUAUACUAGGUUUAUCCUAACCCCAAAAUAAAAGUUUUGACUUUGUUUCUUCUAGCAACCAGAGUUUAAUCCAAGGUUAUUAAUACCAUACCAGACAACAUUUCAAUUUUCUUUAAAUUUAUGGUAUAUAUCAAUACUAGUGGUUUCGAUAUAUUAUCAGAUUUUUGGGUUUAAUAUAAAUAUAUAUGAAUUUGUACAUUAUAAUACAAUUAAUAAUCUACAAAAUAAAUAUGCAAUAUCUUCAAAAAUCAAAUAAAUAACUUUAAAAAUAUAGAAAUAAUAUUAUAAAAUUUUUAUGAUAUUUUUAAACACUUAAUUUGAUCAUAUAAUAUUUAAAUAAGUAUUUUUUUAUGCAAAUAUUAAGAGAAAAAAAAAAGAGAAAAAAAUUAACCUUGGCUUCACUUUUGUUAAACUUUAGAAAUUAAGUACAAAUACUUUCUUGAAAGAGAUUAAAAUACUUAUGAAUUUUGAUUUGAAAAAAUAAAGUAUAAAAGAACAAAUUACAAUAAAAAAUAGAAAAGCUCAAUUGUUAAAGGUUAUUUUGUCAAUUAAUUUUAUUUCUAUUAGGUUAAAAAUAGUCAAACAACGAAAAACAAAUUAAAAAUUGUAAAACAUGUUUCACAUUUACAUAUCUAUCGAAACAAAUUAAUCCAUCGAAAUUCAUCAAAACUAGUCGAAUCCUACAAAAAUGACUAGUAUUACCUGGUAUCAAAUCCAUGGAUUUUUCAUACUGGCCAGUAUGAUAAAUAUCCUUAUAUGUACCGUGUUUUGGUAUAACUAGAGCGUAUUGACCGUAUGAUUGGUACAAAAAUGAAAUUAACAACUAUGGUUUACUCCCAAACAAUUUCAAGUAUAAAAAAAAGUUAUCAAUGGUUAACAAUUAAGUUAUCAAUAAUUUAUUAUUAAACUAUCAGUGAUUUAUAACUAAAUUAUCAAUGAUUUAUUACUAAUUUAUGAAUGAUUUGCUAUUAAGUUAUGAACGAUUUUUAUUAAAUUGUUGAUGAUUUAUCACUAAAUUAUUGAUGAUUAAUUAUAAAUUUAUAACUAAUUUAGUACUAAUUUAUCAAUGAUUUACUAAACAGUUAUCAAUGAUUAACUAAUUGACUACUAAAUUAUCACUAAUUUAUAGUUAUUAGUAACUUACUAUUAUGUUAUUAGUGAUUUGUUAGUCAAUUAUCAAUUUAGUAUUAAAUUAUCAAUGAUUUACUAUUAUAUUUUUAUAUAUUUACUACUAUGUUAUAAUUGAUUUACUACUUAAUUUUUGAUUAUUUACCACAAAAUUAUUAUUUAUUUGUCACUAAAUUACUAUGAUUCACUACAAAAUUAUUACUGAUUUAUAUUAAAUUAUACAUGAUUUACUAUUAAGUUAUCGAUGAUUUACUACUAAAUUAUACUGAUUUACUUUUAAAUUUUCAUGAUUAAUUACUAAGUUAUUUAUGAUUUACUAUUAAGUUAUUUAUGAUUUACUAUUAUUAAUUAAUUAUUAUUAAACUGAAAGUGAUUUUUACUAAUAAAUUGUCAUUAAUUUAUUAUUAAGAUAUCAUUGAUUUAUUAUAGAAUUAUUGUUUAUUCUUGUUAAGUUAUCUUUGAUUUAGUAUUAUGUUGUUAUGCAUUUACAAUUAUAUUAUAAUUGUUUUACCAUGAAGGUAUUAUGCAUUUAUUAUUAUAUUAUUAUUGAUUUAUUAAAAAGUUAUCAAUUAUUAACUAUUAAAUUAUCAUAUAUUUAUUUUUAGGUUAUCAUUAAUUUAUUACUAAGUUAUCAAUAAUUACUACUAAGUUAUAUUGAUUACACUUAAGUUUUCAAUUAUUAAUUACUAAGUUAUUAAAUAUCUAUUACUAUGUUAUCAUUGAUUUGUGUAUAUCCAAUAAAAAAGUGUCCACAAUGUAUGCUAGAUAAUAAAUGUAAAAAACUUGAGAAGAAUAAGUAAAUGAUCUUAAUUUACUAUUCAUAAUUUAUCAUGCAAUAAUAAGUUAAAAUAAUAACUUUUUAUAUUAAUGCAAGUAUGAAAUUUAAAUUAAAUAAAUAUAUACAAUAUAUAUUAAGUUAAUAUUUAUAAGAUAUUUUUUAAAAUUUUAAUUCAUGGUAAAAUAAUACGUAUUAAGAUAAGUUUUAUUAAUAAUUUGAUUGAAUUAUUAGUGUGUAUAUUUUUAUACUUGUUAGCAAAGUACAAAUGCAUAUAAAAUAUUAAAUAUUUUGAAGUAUUCUAUCAUCAAUGAAACUAAUAAGUUUUGCCCUAUAUUUCUAUUUUUAAGUAUAUAAUAUUGGUAAAAAUUUUGAUAUAUAUAUAUAUGAUAAAAGUAAUGAAAACAAAUUUACUAUAUAAAAUUUAUAAAAUUAAAAAAACAACAAUUUUAAAAAUAUUAAAUUCACAAUAAUUACCCUUACAUUAUCAAUAAAAAUUGCUAUUACUAAAUCAAAAGAUGAUAUAUUUUUAAUUAUUACUUCAUUAUUAUUAUCAUCAUUGAAAAUGAAUUUUUUUUUGUCAGGGACUUUUUUGAUAUUUUGAUACCAAUGAACUUCUUCAUGUGAAAAUAAUAAAAAAAAAUUGUAAGUGAUCAUAACAACCCAAAUAAUAUUUAAUUUUAUGAGUCUUCCUAAAUGAGUAUGAAUUGUGAUAUCUCUUUCAAAUAAAAUGUUUAAAUUAUUUUUCUCAACUCAUAUAGUAGCAACUUGAUCAAAAAAUGAACGAUUAUAAAUUCAUUAAUCCGAUUAAUAUUUUUGCAAUACAAAUUUCAAAAUCAUCAAAGUAAGUUAUAGCAUUUAAUCUUGUAAGACAUGGGAAUAAGGAUUUUCUUCUAGAAUUAUCAUUAGUAUUUUCAUCAUUUUUGUACUUAAAUUAUUAUUGUGUUGUAUUUUCAUUCUAUUUUGAAGUUUAUUAUCGGUAUUAUAAAAGUAUAGCUAAAUUGACAUAGAUUAAUCAACACAAUUUGAGCAUAAAUAUAUUUUUUUACUCAUUUUAAAUAUUAAUUUAAUUAAAAACAAUAUAAUACAGAUAAUUAUAAAAAAAGAACUAACUUGACUCAAUAAUGCUUUUAAAAAGUUAAUAACUUAAUAUUUACUUAAAACUAAAAAAAAAUUAAAUAUAGCCAAAAAUUGAUUUGAACUAGUAACCCAAUCAGAAUUUAAUAUGUUUUAUUCAUUUUUUGUAACAAUUUAAAAUUUUCUUAUUUAAGUUUUUUUUCUUCAUCUUCAAGUCUUAAUUUUAUUGUCUUUGUGGUUAAAUUAAUUAAUUAAUUUUAAGAGUAUUUCUAAAGUAAUAUUGCAAUUAUAAGUAUUGAAUAUAUUUUUUUAUUUGGAUUUAAAACAAUUUGAAUGUUGCUUUUCAAACAAAGAAAACAUGCAUAAAUUAUUGAGUCAAAUUUGCUCAAAUGCAUAAGUAAAUAAUUAAGUACACUGUGAAUAGAAAUAGAUAAUAAAACUUGACUCAAUCUAAUUAGUCACUAAUUGUAAGUCUAAAUGCCAACUUAAGAUCAUGAAAAGUUAAAAUUUAAAAUAAUGAAAUACUAAACACACAAUUAAAUAAAGAUUUUAAAACUAAAAUUUACUAAUUAAUCCUGUAAAUCACUUUUAAGUUUAGUUAAAUUAUAAUUUAUGUUAAUAUUUUUAUAUUAAAUGUAAUAGCAACAACUAAUUUGAUAAAUUUCAAUUUUUUUUGAAUAAAUAUUGCCUAAUAUGGUAACUUUAAAAUUUUUGAUACAAUAGUAAAUAUUUUUUUAACUAAUAUAAACGAGAAAAUGAAGGGGUAUACAAUGUUUCUCUUAAUAAAAGAAUUUCACAUUAUACUAAAAAAAUUAAAAUCAAUAUAUUUGUAUUUUUUUAUUGUAACAUUAUUUAAUACCAAACUUUUUUGUCAUAUUGAAAAGAUAAAGUUAUGCAUAACCAGUCAAUAUUUCGUCUCUUUUUUUUUUUUUUUUUGCUUAGAAUGAUCUUCCAUUGGUGUUUCCAUCAAUUAAAUGUAAUUAUAUGUUCUACCAAUUGAAAGCUUAACUUUUCUUUUAUAUGAAAAUUUUUAUUAUAUAUAAAUUUUUAUUAUAUAAAAACAUUAAAAUACAUAAUUUUAAAAAUUAAAAUGAAAUAAAAUAAAUUUCUAAUCUUAGUGCCUGUCAUGUUUUCUUAAGAAAAUUUAAAUCUUAGAAUAACAAACUUGUUAGUAAUACUUAUACAAUUUAUAAUGGUUUCACUUUUAGUAUUAACAACACAAAUUUUUAUAUAUGAACGUAACUUUGGCAUAAAUAUAUUCAAAAAAUACUUCCAAUGAAUUUUGUCACACCUUAAAAGAAUUAAUAAAAAAUAAUUAAUUUUACUUCACUCGAUAAUUCUUUACUUAUAAUAAUUAGCGUUAAGUCAUUCAAUCACCUAGAUGACAAAAAAAAAUGAACAAUUUAAUACAAUUUAUAAAGAUUAAAUAAUCUUAAGAUAUAAAUUAAUCAUACAUGUGCAUAUUAAGAAAAAAGUUAAAGAAAAAUUAAAUCAAUUAUCAUUUCACUCAAGGUAAAUAAUUCUUAUGAUAAUUUGACAAGACCCAAUUCUAAGCUAUUGGUAACUCCACUACCUCCUGAAUCAUUAAUUCUAUAAGUGGAAAUUCCAAUUAAAAUGUUCAAUGAAUCACAUAGUACUCAUUGUUGGCAAAUGAUGUGUAAUAGAUUUGUUUUUUAUUUGAUAUUAGUUUUUGUUUAUUGGAAUAACAAUUAUAAAAUUUUAGAAGAAAAAAAUAUAAAAGAGAAAUUAAUUAUAAAAGUCAAACUAAAUUGUAAGAAUGAUAUGUUAAAAAAUUAUUUCAAGUGACUAAAAAGAUUUAGUUAUGUUAUCAAUAAUCAAAUUAAAAUGAUUAAUUCAUAAAAUAUAUAAAUAAUAAAAUCAUUAGCAUACAUAUAUCUAUAAAUAAUUAUAGUUAACAAAUAUAUUAAAACAAAAAAUUGAAAGGCAAAAAAUAGAAGAAAAACAAAUAUGCCUCAUUGACUUAAUUAUAAUUAUUUUUAAUAAAUUUAUUUAUCAACAUAAAUUACGUAUAUAAUUGUUUUUACAACAACUAAAAAAAACUUCAUAUAAUUGUUCUAUUCCUAUGCAUACUAAAUUUUGAUCUCGUUCUAUCUGUACUUUUAUUUGAUGUAAAAAAAUCAUUCUAAUUGUACAAAAUCAGUAUAAUAAUAAAAAAAGCAUUUAAAUUAAAAUUUAUAAAAAAUGACUAAUGGUAUUUUAAUCAAUCAUUUUUAACAUUUUUUAAAUUAAAAUUUUAUUAAGAUAUUUUAGUCAAUCACAUUAGCACUUUUUUAAUCUAAUUAUAAAAAAAUCUAAUAAUAAAAAUGAAAAUUCAUUUAAAUUAAAUUUUAUAAAAAAGUUUACUAAGAAUAUUUUACUUAAUCAGUUUUAACAUAUUUGAAUUAAAAUUUUAAAAUCUUAAAAAUUUUAAUUUAACAUAAAUUCUAUUUUUAAUUUUAAAUGAUUUAAAUUAAACUUUAAUUAAUUAAUAAAAAUUAUAUAUUUAAGAAUAAAUUUAUUAAUUUAAAAUUUUAUAAAAUAUUGAAGUCAAUCAUUUUUAAUAUUUAUAUUUUUAUAUAUCAAAUAAAUGAUCAACAUGUCUUGAAAUUUCCGUACUAACCAAACAUAAGAAAUCUUACAAAUCAAGGCCCAACUAAUUUUGUUAUAUGCUUGCUUGUAUCUUUUUCAUUAGUUUAUUAUUUUCGCUUUGUCUUUACUUGUCAUUUGAUGUUUUCCCGAGUUAGCAAGUAUUAUUAGAGUUAAAAAAUGGCUGGCAUGUUACAUGUNNNNNNNNNNNNNNNNNNNNNNNNNNNNNNNNNNNNNNNNNNNNNNNNNNNNNNNNNNNNNNNNNNNNNNNNNNNNNNNNNNNNNNNNNNNNNNNNNNNNNNNNNNNNNNNNNNNNNNNNNNNNNNNNNNNNNNNNNNNNNNNNNNNNNNNNNNNNNNNNNNNNNNNNNNNNNNNNNNNNNNNNNNNNNNNNNNNNNNNNNNNNNNNNNNNNNNNNNNNNNNNNNNNNNNNNNNNNNNNNNNNNNNNNNNNNNNNNNNNNNNNNNNNNNNNNNNNNNNNNNNNNNNNNNNNNNNNNNNNNNNNNNNNNNNNNNNNNNNNNNNNNNNNNNNNNNNNNNNNNNNNNNNNNNNNNNNNNNNNNNNNNNNNNNNNNNNNNNNNNNNNNNNNNNNNNNNNNNNNNNNNNNNNNNNNNNNNNNNNNNNNNNNNNNNNNNNNNNNNNNNNNNNNNNNNNNNNNNNNNNNNNNNNNNNNNNNNNNNNNNNNNNNNNNNNNNNNNNNNNNNNNNNNNNNNNNNNNNNNNNNNNNNNNNNNNNNNNNNNNNNNNNNNNNNNNNNNNNNNNNNNNNNNNNNNNNNNNNNNNNNNNNNNNNNNNNNNNNNNNNNNNNNNNNNNNNNNNNNNNNNNNNNNNNNNNNNNNNNNNNNNNNNNNNNNNNNNNNNNNNNNNNNNNNNNNNNNNNNNNNNNNNNNNNNNNNNNNNNNNNNNNNNNNNNNNNNNNNNNNNNNNNNNNNNNNNNNNNNNNNNNNNNNNNNNNNNNNNNNNNNNNNNNNNNNNNNNNNNNNNNNNNNNNNNNNNNNNNNNNNNNNNNNNNNNNNNNNNNNNNNNNNNNNNNNNNNNNNNNNNNNNNNNNNNNNNNNNNNNNNNNNNNNNNNNNNNNNNNNNNNNNNNNNNNNNNNNNNNNNNNNNNNNNNNNNNNNNNNNNNNNNNNNNNNNNNNNNNNNNNNNNNNNNNNNNNNNNNNNNNNNNNNNNNNNNNNNNNNNNNNNNNNNNNNNNNNNNNNNNCUUCUGCAAUUAGAUUCUGAUUGCUAGUUACAGCUACCUUUAACGUUCUCUAAUGGCACUGUUAAUUCCAUGUUGUUGGACUAGAUUGAUAGAUGCACUCAAGAUGAUGAAGCAAGGCGUGAGGCGACUUCUUGUUCCAAAGAGCAAGGUAUGGAAAGGCAUGAACAAAAGAUUCUCAAUUCUUUAUAAUAGGAAAUUGUUAAAAAACAUUAAAAUUUUUUUCUGAUGGAGCUAGAGUGACAUCUAUUUUAUAUUUUAUAAUAAUAGGUAGCGGUUUGCAUGUAUUAUCAGAUGUUUUUAUGACAUUUGUAGAUUUUACUAAUAAUUUUAUAAAAUAUUGUUAUAUUUUUUAUAAAUGAAAUAAGAUGUUUAGUUUAUUUAUUAUUAUUUAUGUAUAUUUUAAUAUUCAUGCAAUUACUUUAAAAACAAAUUUAAAAACAUUACAAUAAAAUGAUAAAUUAUAAAUAAAAUAUAAUUAUAUAUGAUUAAAAAAUAAAUAUUAUUGAUAAAAAUAUUAACUAUUAUUGAAGAAAUUUUAAAUAUUAUCGAUAAUUUUUUUAAAAAAAAUGACAAUUAAUGUUGAAAAAAAUUAAAAUAAUAUAUUGACAAAAAAUAUUUUUAUCAAUGAAAAAUUUUAUCAAUAAAUUAUCAAUGAAACUUUAUAAUUCUGAUAAAAUUGUAUUAUUGAUGAAAUUUUUUCAUAAAUAAUUUAUUAUGGACAAAAAAUAAAAUAUUACUGAUGGAAGCAAUAUCUUUUUUUUUUUUUAAGUUACGAAAAUUAACCAUGUGUAAUUAUACUAAUUAUUUCAAAUUUUUGUUUGUUAUUUUUUCAUAUAUUAUAAAUGAAUACUUUUUAAAAAAUAUCUUAAAUCUAUUACGGAAGAGAAACGAAAAUGACAAAAGAAACGAAAAAAUACUACUAACGAUCCCAUUUCCAAGCAUCAUACAAAGUUAUAUGAGAUAAUCCAUAGAAUCAAAGACAGACAUUGAUGUCGCUUUGAAAUAGCGCAGAUGUUUGUUCAAGCAUCUUUAAUUUGAGCUGCGUUGCCUUUACGCUACGUCUGGAGUCGACGACACUUCGUUGCCUGCCUCCUUAAAAUUUGCGCCACGACAUCUACUGCCCACUUUCUUUCGUUUUAAAAUCUAGGGAAGCAUACACUGUCAGUCAUUAAAUUUAGUGAGCAGGAUCUUAUCGGGUAUAAAAUAAUAUUUUAUAAUAAUUUUUUUAAAAUAUAUUAAAUUUAUUAAUAAUAAAAUAUAAAUAUACAUAUAUAAUAAUAAAACUUAUAAUUAUAAAUAUAAUAAUAUUUAAAUAUAUGUAAAUAUAUUAAAUAAUUGAUUUCAUGAUUUUUAAUUAUAAUCAUUAACAAUAUUUUUAUAAAAAAUAAAAAUUAUUUUUUACAUUAUUAACACGUUAUUUUAUCAUAUUUAAUAUUUUAAAUAUUAAAAUAAAAAUCACAAAAAUAUAAUUUUUUAAAUAAAAAAUUAAAUUUUAAAACAAUAAAAUAAAGAUAUUAAUACGAUAAAUAAAUUUUUUUAAUUUUUUAUGUGAUUAUUUUAUAUUAUAAAAAAUAAAAAAAUAUUUAAAUUAAUCAUAUUAAUUAUUUUAAUAUGUAAUAAUUUUUAAAUAAAAUGAGCAUGCAUAUAAUAAAAAAAAAUUGGUUGAAAAAAGAUCACAAUUAAAUAUUUACUAAAUUGAUUUUAGUUAUUAUAAUACUUGUAUAUAUAUAUAUAUAUAUAUAUAUAUAUAUAUAUACUUAAAUUUACAUGUUUGUGAAUAUUUAAUGUGAGAUAAAUUUAUUCAUUUUUAAAUUAAAAAUCAUUUAUAAUAACAAACAUAAAUUAAAAAAUUUGUAAUUAUAUUUUAAAAUUAACAGUUGUAAUUUAUAUACAAAUAAAUUUUAUAACUAUAUAUUCAAUUAUAUACAUAAAGUAAAGAAUAAUAUAUAUCAAUACAAUUAAUUUAAGUUUGAAGGGUUUAAACUAAUUCUUUUCACUAAAAUAUUUAUAAUUACUAUGAAAAUCACAUAUAUAUAUAUAUAUAUAAAUUCAAAUUUUUUGAGAGGCCAUAGCCCUCGUAAUCUCCUUAGAGCAUCCCUCGUUGUAGGUGAGUGUUUUAAAAGCAAUAACUUUCUCCGUCCGGGGCGACAUUAAAUUUUAUGGAAUUAAAUUUUUUUUAUUUUAAUAUAUUUAAUAUUAAAAUUAAAGUUUCAUGACCUUUAAUAUUAAAAAGUGAAAAAAAUCAUUAAAAUAAUUUUAAAAUAUAAAAAAAUAGAAGUUUUAAAUAUUUAGAAAAAAAAUAACAUAAUUUUGAGACAUUUCUAAAAAAAAAAAGAAUAAAAAUAAAUAAGACAGAGGGAGUAAGUUUUUUAAUUUAAUCAUUAAUGUUUACAUAAAUAUAUUUUUUAAAUUAUUGAAAUGUUAAACAGUAACAUUUUUUUAAGAUGAUACAUCGAGUCAGAAAAAGAAUUCUAAUGGAAUAAAAAUAAAAAUAAUUUCUAAUAAUUCCAACAGAAAAUUCACCGAAAUAAUGUUGUUUGGUCGGAAAGAACGAGGAUUGGACAUUACUUAAGCAUUUUCAAGAAAUUUCCUCCAUUUUUAAUUCAUCGCGUAGAAGAAAAGCUACAACAGCUACUCUGACCCAUACUUAGUAGCCGGAUUAAAUCUUGGAGCAUCAGCAGUCCCGGUUGGACUUUAGGAUCCGGUAGUUAAGCAGAGGGAUCUUCUUUAGUUCUUUGCAUUGAAUUAAUUUUAUUACAUACAGAAGUGAAAUAGGGGAAGGAAAGAACAACAGAAACAAAUACUCAGAACUAACUCCAAACAGAACACACAUUUAACUUAUAGUAUGCUGGAAAUUCACAUUUUACCAAUGAGAAUCUGAUGCAGUAGCUCAGAGUUAUGAAGAAGAGAAAGACAAUGAGCCAUGUGAAAGAUGUAGAAGUCAAUUAAAAACUGAUGGUGGAGCAGCAAAGAAUCAAGCUGAUGGUUUUAAGGAUUCAGGGCAAUCAAAAUUAAUUAAUAAUUGAAUUAAUUAUUUAAUAAUUAAUAUUAAAUAAUAUAAUAAUAUUUUUCAUAAUAUGAAUAUGUUUAAUAAUUUCUUUUUUUUAGAUUAAAAUAUAUAAUUUUAUAUUUUAUUAUCUAUGGUAUUUAUAUUACAAUUUUAAUAAUAAUAUAAACAAAACAUACUUUUGUUAUGAUUUAAUAAUAGAUACUUUCAAUAUAAAAUAUAAAUAUUUUAAUAAUAAAUAUUACUAUUUCAAUAUUAAUAAAAAUAAUAUUUUAAAAAUAGUAAUACUAUUUUAAAUAUUUUAAGAUAUUAAUAUAAAAAUAAUAAAUAGUUUUAUUUUAAGUAUUGUUUAUAUUAAUAUAAUAUUUUAAUAUUAAAUAUUAUUUUAAAAUAUAAUUAUUCUUGAAUGUUAAUAAUUUUAAUAAUAAAUCGUUGCAAUAUACUUUAAUAAUAAAUCAUUUUUAAUUCUUUAAUAGUUAUAUUAAUAGAAUUUGAAGAACGAAAAAAAAUUUUAAAAAAAUAACCAAAUAAUAAAAAAUAUUUUUUAAUAACUCAUUCAAACAACAAAUUUUUUACUUUUUCAAAAAAUAUAAAUAUUUUCUAAAAAUCAACUUUUACAAAACAAACGGAACCAAAAAUUUCAAGUCAGUCAAAGUGGCAGAAGGAGGUUGCUCGGCCCUUUGAAGUCGCAUCUUUGAAGUUAAAUCUAUGUCAUUUGGCUAAUUUUUUGGGAAAAUCAAUUGGAGAAAAUGAAAUAUGAGGUGAAGAGGAACAUUUGGUGAAACUUGGGACUAAACUAGUGCCGACAAAUGGCGUCGACAAUGACAGGUGGUGGCAAUGGCACUUGGGUUUUGGAAAAAUUUUGACUGCCGAUUAAAGAUGAAGAAAUAAAUUUCAAAUAAAUAUUUAAUCAUUUAUGUUUUAAUGCUGACACGAUAAUGAAUAAUGGAAUGAUUGUUAAAUAUUUUUUACACAUGUUAAGAUUUUAUUGGAUAUUAUGCUAUGUCAAUAAAUUUAACUAAGUGUAAUGGUUUCUAUGGCCAAAGUGUUCAAUGGAAUACAAGUUUAAGGAUUUAAUUGUUAAUUUUUAUUCUUUUGGCAUUGAAUAGAUAAAAAAAACAUAGGUUUAAGUAUUAAAUGUUAACUUUUAUUCUUUCGGUACUAAAUUGAUAAAAAAAAAAAAUAGUAUAUAGGCCAAAUAAAUAUUUAACCAUCCCGUUUUUUAUUUAUGUUUUAUUUUAAAACUGCCUUUUUCCUUUUUCUUUUUAAUUAUUAAGACGUCCCAUAUUCAUUAAACGAAUCAGGCGUUUACUAUUUAUAUUGUCAGAGCAUACAAGAUAAACCGCACUGUAAAAUUUCCAGUAACAGCGCCACAAUGCCUCACGAGUCUCGAAGAUCUCCGUUCGUGUUUUCCUUUUUCUUGGAGGCCAAACGAUCAGAUUCCCUCUUUGGAAAACCCUAAAAUUUCCGAAGAGAAUUUAUUUUUAAAAAAACAGUGACGUUAAGAUUACAUUUCUAUUUUUUUUUUUCACGAUCGAAGUUCCAAAUCUCCCAAAAUGAACGGCUAAUUUUCCGUCAUUGAGGUGUUUUAGGGUUUCUAUUUUUCAACUAUUUUUUUCUAAAAGACGAUGAUAAGUAUCAUUUUAGUUGAUCCCUCAGAAGUCAUAGCUGAAAGAGCCGAUUUAUCGAUUUUUAACUAGUCGAGGGUUUCUUCAUGGCAGAAGCUUCGCGGGGCCGUGUUACUAUCACUCUUGGCCGUAGUGGCCAGGUAUUUGUUUUACUUUAUUUCUCGUAAUAUUUUUUUUCUUUUCUUUUUCCUCGAAAUUGGUGAUGUUACUUAAGUAUUUGUUUGGUUGCUGGUAAAAUGUAGGAAAUAAGCUUGAAAUUAAUAGGAAUUUGUCCUUUGAACAUAUAUUGUAUUAAUUCUCGACUCUGAACGAUUUAGUUUAGUAUGGUAGGUUUUUGUUUAUUUAUCCAUUAAAGUGUUUAAGCUGUUUCUUUAAAAAAACAGUCAGUGUAGUUCCCUUAUUUUUCUUGUUGGCUUCUUUUGAGCAUGAACUAUAUUGAUUAUGUUGGUAUAGGUGGUGAAGAGGGCUGGACCUGCAUCAGAUGUUGAUUUUCCUGAUUCUCAUCCUGUUGCUGGUAGUAAGCGUUCUGUAAGGGAUAGGUUAGGAGGCAAUAUAGAUAGUUCCUUGUUGCUUGGAAGUCAGCUCAAUAACAAACGGUAUGUUCUUAGGAAUUUUACUGUUGUUUUCUCGGCAUUUCAAAAUCUUGCUUUGCUAUGUCGGUGCUUCUGCAAUGGCUAUUUAUGUAAUGUUCUGUGUUUCCUAGUGGAUGAUAGUGAUGCUGUUGUUAUAGUAGCUUCCAAAUUAGAGCACUUAUUUUAGGGUGUUUGUUCGAAUGACAUGAUAGAAUUCUGUUGCUAUGGAUUGCCAGGACUUGAGAGUGACUGUUGGACGUGGAUAUGCUUAAUUUUUUUUUUUUUUUUUAAGUUAUUCCUAUAAUUUGGAGUUCAGGACUGUAUCCUGUUUCCACUUUGACUGUUGGAUAUGUGUUAAACAAGGAUUCUUUAGGAAAAAUAAAGAGUUGCAGCAACAUAGACCAUGAGAGCUGAUACAUUGCCCUGCCUUUGGCGUUUAUUUCCUGUGUGAAUAAAUUUUCACCCUAUUAGUUUAUUAAUGGAGUUUACUUAUGCAAAAAGUUAUUGCGCUAUUUUGCCAUUUUCUACAGACAAAGAGGUGAUGGUCAUACAACAAGUUUGAAUGCUAAUGGCUUGAAUGGUACCAAACUUAUACCUCUAUGUUGCAAUAUCCUUAUUUUGCUGAUUUCUGAGCUGCUUGUGAGAUUACUAACAUCACUUCUUUUGGGAAAAAAAAAAGAUAUUCACAUUGGUAAAGAUGACCUCCGAUUUAAACUCAUGCAAAAAAAGGUGUUUAGACGGGCUCAGAUUGAUGAUAACCAUAAGGGCAUGGACCUUCGUGAAAAGUUGUCAAGAAUGGGACAGCCUCCACUUAACAGUUAUGAGACACGUCAGCGAGUGCCUGACCCAAGGGAGCGAAUGCCUGAACCAAGGGAAACCAGUAUCUUGGGCAGAAUUCUUUCCACAAGAAGUGUGGAUGAUUUGCCUCAUGUGACCACAUCAAGAAGUUCUUAUUCUUCUUGGACUUUAGAUCAUUUA